UUAAGUUAAUAAGGGCGCACGGUGGAUGCCUUGGCACUAGGAGCCGACGAAGGACGUGACAAACGACGAUAUGCCUUGGGUAGCUGUAAGUAAGCGAUGAUCCAGGGAUUUCCGAAUGGGGGAACCCAACAGGUAAUACCUGUUACCUACAUCUGUUAAGGAUGUGAGGAGGAAGACGCAGUGAACUGAAACAUCUAAGUAGCUGCAGGAAGAGAAAGCAAAAGCGAUUGCCUUAGUAGCGGCGAGCGAAACGGCAGGAGGGCAAACCGAAGAGUUUACUCUUCGGGGUUGUAGGACUGCAAUGUGGACUCAAAGAUUAUAGAAGAAUGAUUUGGGAAGAUCAGCCAAAGAGAGUAAUAGCCUCGUAUUUAAAAUAGUCUUUGUACCUAGCAGUAUCCUGAGUACGGCGGGACACGUGAAAUCCCGUCGGAAUCUGGGAGGACCAUCUCCCAACCCUAAAUACUCCCUAGUGACCGAUAGUGAACCAGUACCGUGAGGGAAAGGUGAAAAGCACCCCGGGAGGGGAGUGAAAUAGAACCUGAAACCGUGUGCCUACAACAAGUUCGAGCCCGUUAAUGGGUGAGAGCGUGCCUUUUGUAGAAUGAACCGGCGAGUUACGUUAUGAUGCGAGGUUAAGUUGAAGAGACGGAGCCGUAGGGAAACCGAGUCUGAAUAGGGCGCCUUAGUAUCAUGACGUAGACCCGAAACCAUGUGACCUACCCAUGAGCAGGUUGAAGGUGCGGUAAGACGCACUGGAGGACCGAACCAGGGCACGUUGAAAAGUGCUUGGAUGACUUGUGGGUAGCGGAGAAAUUCCAAACGAACUUGGAGAUAGCUGGUUCUCUCCGAAAUAGCUUUAGGGCUAGCGUCGACAUUAGAGAUUCUUGGAGGUAGAGCACUGUUUGGGUGAGGGGUCCAUCCCGGAUUACCAAUCUCAGAUAAACUCCGAAUGCCAAUGAAUUAUGGUCGGCAGUCAGACUGCGAGUGCUAAGAUCCGUAGUCGAAAGGGAAACAGCCCAGACCACCAGCUAAGGUCCCAAAAUAAUUGUUAAGUGGAAAAGGAUGUGGGGUUGCACAGACAACUAGGAUGUUAGCUUAGAAGCAGCUAUUCAUUCAAAGAGUGCGUAAUAGCUCACUAGUCGAGUGACCCUGCGCCGAAAAUGUACCGGGGCUAAAACAAUUUACCGAAGCUGUGGAUACCUUUAUAGGUAUGGUAGGAGAGCGUUCUAUGUGUGAUGAAGGUAUACCGUGAGGAGUGCUGGAACGCAUAGAAGUGAGAAUGCCGGUAUGAGUAGCGAAAGACAGGUGAGAAUCCUGUCCACCGUAAGACUAAGGUUUCCAGGGGAAGGCUCGUCCGCCCUGGGUUAGUCGGGACCUAAGGAGAGACCGAAAGGUGUAUCCGAUGGACAACAGGUUGAUAUUCCUGUACUAGAGUAUGUAGUGAUGGAGGGACGCAGUAGGCUAACUAAAGCAGACGAUUGGAAGAGUCUGUCUAAGCAGUGAGGUGUGAAUUGAGUCAAAUGCUUAAUUCUAUAACAUUGAGCUGUGAUGGGGAGCGAAGUUUAGUAGCGAAGUUAGUGACGUCACACUGCCAAGAAAAGCUUCUAGCGUUUAAACAUACUCUACCCGUACCGCAAACCGACACAGGUAGUCGAGGCGAGUAGCCUCAGGUGAGCGAGAGAACUCUCGUUAAGGAACUCGGCAAAAUGACCCCGUAACUUCGGGAGAAGGGGUGCUGACUUUAAGUCAGCCGCAGUGAAUAGGCCCAAGCAACUGUUUAUCAAAAACACAGCUCUCUGCUAAAUCGUAAGAUGAUGUAUAGGGGGUGACGCCUGCCCGGUGCUGGAAGGUUAAGAGGAGUGCUUAGCGUAAGCGAAGGUAUGAAUUGAAGCCCCAGUAAACGGCGGCCGUAACUAUAACGGUCCUAAGGUAGCGAAAUUCCUUGUCGGGUAAGUUCCGACCCGCACGAAAGGCGUAAUGAUUUGGGCACUGUCUCAACGAGAGACUCGGUGAAAUUUUAGUACCUGUGAAGAUGCAGGUUACCCGCGACAGGACGGAAAGACCCCAUGGAGCUUUACUGCAGUUUGAUAUUGAGUGUCUGUACCACAUGUACAGGAUAGGUAGGAGUCUAAGAGAUCGGGACGCCAGUUUCGAAGGAGACGCUGUUGGGAUACUACCCUUGUGUUAUGGCCACUCUAACCCAGAUAGGUGAUCCCUAUCGGAGACAGUGUCUGACGGGCAGUUUGACUGGGGCGGUCGCCUCCUAAAAGGUAACGGAGGCGCCCAAAGGUUCCCUCAGAAUGGUUGGAAAUCAUUCGCAGAGUGUAAAGGUAUAAGGGAGCUUGACUGCGAGAGCUACAACUCGAGCAGGGACGAAAGUCGGGCUUAGUGAUCCGGUGGUUCCGUAUGGAAGGGCCAUCGCUCAACGGAUAAAAGCUACCCUGGGGAUAACAGGCUUAUCUCCCCCAAGAGUUCACAUCGACGGGGAGGUUUGGCACCUCGAUGUCGGCUCGUCGCAUCCUGGGGCUGUAGUCGGUCCCAAGGGUUGGGCUGUUCGCCCAUUAAAGCGGCACGCGAGCUGGGUUCAGAACGUCGUGAGACAGUUCGGUCCCUAUCCGUCGCGGGCGUAGGAAAUUUGAGAGGAUCUGCUCCUAGUACGAGAGGACCAGAGUGGACUUACCGCUGGUGUACCAGUUGUCUUGCCAAAGGCAUCGCUGGGUAGCUAUGUAGGGAAGGGAUAAACGCUGAAAGCAUCUAAGUGUGAAACCCACCUCAAGAUGAGAUUUCCCAUGAUUAUAUAUCAGUAAGAGCCCUGAGAGAUGAUCAGGUAGAUAGGUUAGAAGUGGAAGUGUGGCGACACAUGUAGCGGACUAAUACUAAUAGCUCGAGGACUUAUCCAA
rnacentral:rRNA from 1 species